CACGUAGGGUGCGAGCGUUGUCCGGAAUUAUUGGGCGUAAAGAGCUCGUAGGCGGUGUGUCGCGUCGGCCGUGAAAACCUGCAGCUUAACUGUGGGCGUGCGGUCGAUACGGGCAUCACUGGAGUUCGGCAGGGGAGACUGGAAUUCCUGGUGUAGCGGUGAAAUGCGCAGAUAUCAGGAGGAACACCGGUGGCGAAGGCGGGUCUCUGGGCCGAAAUUGACGCUGAGGAGCGAAAGCGUGGGGGAGCAAACAGG
rnacentral:rRNA from 1 species